GGUCAGCUCCCUGGAGGCGGCUGAUACCGGCAGCUUGUAGCCGUGUAGUUUAACUGUGUUGGUCUCUGAUUGCCAGGAAGCGGUGGCUUGCCUUCUUCUCUGAACUCUAAUCUCAGGCUUUGUGGGGCUUUUCCAGUUGCAGAGAGAGUAGAAACUAUUUCUAUAACAUCACGAAGAUUCAGUGUAACAAUCUCCAGGUUGGGUUGGGCUCUGAUGAGUAUUGAGUGGAAAAGUAUUUGCUGGCUGGGUUUCUCUGGGAAGUUAUUUUUGCGCUGAUUCUUGUAGGUUGAAAAACCGUGCUUCUGUCAGACUUGAUGGAUAGGACAUUUCAAGAGGGAAAAAGAAGCCCACCACCCCUUUGAGGGACGCCACAGAUGCAGAGCAAAUAUUGACAGUGAGAAGCAAAGCCAGAGAUACUUUCAUUAGAGCAGCCUGGACAGGAUCAUAGAAAGUGUAGUCUCCGUAACCCGCUUCAGUGUUCAACAACUCCCCUUAACAAGAAGUUCUACCUUGAGUCUAUUCUGAAUCUUUCAUGCUGCACUGUGAGCCUCUGAUUCUGGGAGCCGUGGAGAUGGAGAACAGCUAGCCCAUCACUUCCCAUGGAACCCACCCAUAAUAAUCUCAAAGACCUUAAUAAAUCUCCCCCAUCGGAUUGUAA